rnacentral:rRNA from 1 species
AUUGAACGCUGGCGGCAUGCUUUACACAUGCAAGUCGGACGGCAGCACAGAGAAGCUUGCUUCUUGGGUGGCGAGUGGCGAACGGGUGAGUAAUAUAUCGGAACGUACCGAGUAAUGGGGGAUAACUAAUCGAAAGAUUAGCUAAUACCGCAUAUUCUCUGAGGAGGAAAGCAGGGGACCUUCGGGCCUUGCGUUAUUCGAGCGGCCGAUAUCUGGUUAGCUAGUUGGUGGGGUAAAGGCCUACCAAGGCGACGAUCAGUAGCGGGUCUGAGAGGAUGAUCCGCCACACUGGGACUGAGACACGGCCCAGACUCCGACGGGAGGCAGCGGUGGGGAAUUUUGGACAAUGGGCGCAAGCCUGAUCCAGCCAUGCCGCGUGCCUGAAGAAGGCCUUCGGGUUGUAAAGGACUUUUGUCAGGGAAGAAAAGGCUGUUGCUAAUAUCGACAGCUGAUGACGGUACCUGAAGAAUAAGCACCGGCUAACUACGU